rnacentral:rRNA from 1 species
UGGGGAAUAUUGCACAAUGGGCGAAAGCCUGAUGCAGCAACGCCGCGUGAGGGACGACGGCCUUCGGGUUGUAAACCUCUUUUAGCAAGGAAGAAGCGAAAGUGACGGUACUUGCAGAAAAAGCGCCGGCUAACUACGUGCCAGCAGCCGCGGUAAUACGUAGGGCGCAAGCGUUAUCCGGAAUUAUUGGGCGUAAAGAGCUCGUAGGCGGUUUGUCGCGUCUGCUGUGAAAACCCGAGGCUCAACCUCGGGCCUGCAGUGGGUACGGGCAGACUAGAGUGCGGUAGGGGAGAUUGGAACUCCUGGUGUAGCGGUGGAAUGCGCAGAUAUCAGGAAGAACACCGAUGGCGAAGGCAGAUCUCUGGGCCGUAACUGACGCUGAGGAGCGAAAGGGUGGGGAGCAAAACAGGCUUAGAUACCCUGGUAGUCCACCCCGUAAACGUUGGGAACUAGUUGUGGGGUCCAUUUUCACGGAUUCCGUGACGCAGCUAACGCAUUAAGUUCCCCGCCUGGGGGAGUACGGCCGCAAGGCU